CCUACGGGUGGCAGCAGUGGGGAAUAUUGCGCAAUGGGCGAAAGCCUGACGCAGCGACGCCGCGUGAGGGAUGAAGGUCUUCGGAUCGUAAACCUCUGUCAGCAGGGAAGAACGGUCACUGAACUAAUCAGCAGUGAAUUGACGGUACCUGCAAAGGAAGCACCGGCUAACGCCGUGCCAGCAGCCGCGGUAAUACGGAGGGUGCGAGCGUUAAUCGGAAUGACUGGGCGGAAAGCGCGCGUAGGCGGUAUGUCAAGUCUAGGGUGAAAUGCCCGCGCUCAACGUGGGCACUGCCUUUGAAACGGGCAAACUGGAGUGUGUGAGAGGAUAGUGGAAUUCCAGGUGUAGGAGUGAAAUGCGUAGAUAUCUGGAGGAACAUCAGUGGCGAAGGCGACUAUCUGGCACAUAACUGACGCUGAGGAGCGAAAGCGUGGGUAGCAAACAGGAUUAGAUACCCUUGUAGUC
rnacentral:rRNA from 1 species